GUAGAGCACUUGGUUUGGGACCAAGGGGUCGCAGGUUCGAAUCCUGUCUUCCCGA
rfam:Carnobacterium divergens DSM 20623 NODE_6, whole genome shotgun sequence.